rnacentral:rRNA from 1 species
AGUGAACGCUGGCGGCAGGCCUAACACAUGCAAGUCGAACGGCAGCACAGUAAGAUCUUGCUCUUACGGGUGGCGAGGGGCGGACGGGUGAGGAAUAGAUCGGAAGCUACUGUUUCGUGGGGGACAACUGAGGGAAACUUACGCUAAUACCUCAUACGACCUACGGGUGAAAGCAAGGGAGCUUCGGACCUUGCGCUAAUGCAUAAGUCGAUGUCGGAUUAGGUAGGUGGCGGGGUAAAGGCACACCAAGGCGAAGAUACAUAGCCGACCUGAGAGGGUGGUGGGCCAAAAGGGGACUGGGACACGGCCCAAACUCCUACGGGAGGCAGCAGUAGGGAAUCUUCGGCAAGGGACGAAAGUCUGACCGAGCAACGCCGGGGGAGUGAAGAAGGGUUUCGGAUCGUAAAACUCUGUUGGUAGAGAAGAACGGUGGGGAGAGGGAAAAGCUCAUCAAGAGACGGUAACUACCCAGAAAGGGACGGCGAACUACGUG